rnacentral:tRNA from 1 species
GCCGAAGUAGCUCAGGGGUAGAGCAACUGAUUCGUAAUCAGUAGGUCAGGGGUUCAAUUCCCCUCUUCGGCUCCA